rnacentral:tRNA from 1 species
GCGCCGGUGGUGCAAGGCGUAGCAUCGCUGCUCGGAAAGCAGAAGAUGCGGGUUCGAAUCCUGCCUCGCGCA